AUGAUUUCAAACUAUCUGAACGUUAGUUUGCUAAAUGAUUUCAAAAAAUGUUUAGGUUCAUUCGAACGUUUUUCAAUAACAAUAAUAAUGAUUUCAAAGCUUUCAAAACACCGAUUUUGUGUUCCAUUCGUCAAAAAUUAUUUUUCUCAAUUAACAUGUUUGUAGUUUCAUUGCUUAGGGUUUUAUUCAACAAUGGAGAAUGGGAGGGGUUUUGAUAGUUGAAAUAGAUAAAUAAUACAUUAAAAGUGAUUUGGGGUGUAUUUAUAAAUUUUUUAUUAUUUUUUAAACCUAAUAAGGUCAAAAUUGUCAUUACAUAGUAGAGUAAAUUAGUCAUUAAUAUUAAAUUUUAAUGUGGGGUGCUAAUAUAAAAAGCAUAUAUGUAUA
rnacentral:lncRNA from 1 species